CUCGGCAUUGUCCCCUCCCAAACUCCCACCCCUCCACAUAGCUUAAAAGUGUUGGGGGCUUCUCCAGUUUAGAUGGGGGAACAAAGAGAACCAACAGCUGGAAAAAACUAGAGAUGAGGCCGUUGGCCUAGUCAUCAUCCAGGCCGAUUUCUCAGAACCACCACUUUCUCUUCGGCUACUUUGCCCAUCCCAUAAAAGAACCCCAAAUCCUUCCUGUUCAUUCCUCAGCAGUUCCCACGUUUCCUUCCAGAAACUCAGAAGGCACCAGGAACUGAAUUGCAAAGUUCGUUAGAGCACAGACUCUGAAUUAAAGAGCUGGGUUAAACUCCAGGCUAUUCCCUUAGUAGCUGUGUGACCUUACCUGUCUGAAGCUUGGUUUUCUCCCAGUAAGAUGGGGUAGUACUGCCUAAAGAGGUAUAUGGCAUGUAUAAAGUGCUCCAUAAAUGGAGCUUAUUGGGAGAGUAUAAGUCACAGGCCAUGCCCCGCAAGGGGAUGCACGAAGACCCACCGCGAGCCAGGAAGGGAGCACCGGGCUCUCUGCUCUGGGACCGGCAGUGAGCCGGACAUCUGGGUCCUCCCAAGCCGGGCGGGCUGCCCCAGGGAGGAAGGGAGGGGGGCGAGCCUGAGCGGGCACCUCGGCCCGCAGGAGGUCUGCAGCGAGCUGUGGUGUCUGAGCAAGAGCAACCGGUGCAUCACCAACAGCAUCCCGGCCGCCGAGGGCACGCUGUGCCAGACGCACACCAUCGACAAGGGGUGGUGCUACAAACGGGUCUGUGUCCCCUUUGGGUCGCGCCCAGAGGGUGUGGACGGAGCCUGGGGGCCGUGGACUCCAUGGGGCGACUGCAGCCGGACCUGUGGCGGCGGCGUGUCCUCUUCUAGCCGUCACUGCGACAGCCCCAGGCCAACCAUCGGGGGCAAGUACUGUCUGGGUGAGAGAAGGCGGCACCGCUCCUGCAACACGGAUGACUGUCCCCCUGGCUCCCAGGACUUCAGAGAAGUGCAGUGUUCUGAAUUU
rnacentral:lncRNA from 1 species